rnacentral:rRNA from 1 species
GACGUAGGAGGCGAGCGUUAUCCGGAUUCACUGGGCGUAAAGCGCAUGUAGGCGGUCGUCUAAGUCCGCGGUUAAAGCCCCCGGCUCAACUGGGGGAGGUCCGAGGAGACUAGUCGACUUGAGGGCAACAGAGGCACGUGGAACUCCCGGUGUAGCGGUGGAAUGCGUAGAGAUCGGGAAGAACACCAGUGGCGAAGGCGACGUGCUGGGUUGCACCUGACGCUGAGAUGCGAAAGUGUGGGGAGCAAACGGG